rnacentral:tRNA from 1 species
GCCCCCGUAGCUCAGCCAGGAUAGAGCAGUGGGUUUCUAACCCAUUGGUCGUAGGUUCAAAUCCUGCCGGGGGCA